UUAUAGAGAGGUAUCCUUUAUAGAGAGGUAUCCUUUAUAUAGAGAGUUACCUAUCAGCGAGCUAUAUGUCCUUUAUAGAGAGGUAUCCUUUAUAUAGAGAGUUACCUAUCAGCGAGCUAUAUGUCCUUUAUAGAGAGGUAUCCUUUAUAGAGAGUUAUCCUUUAUAGAGGGGUAUCCUUUAUAGAGAGGUAUCCUUUAUAUAGAGAGUUACCUAUCAGCGAGCUAUAUAUCCUUUAUAAAGAGGUAUCCUUUAUAUAGAGUUACCUAUCAGCAAGCUAUAUGUCCUUUAUAGAGAGGUAUCCUUUAUAAAGAGGUAUCCAUUAUAUAGAGAGUUACCUAUCAGCGAGCUAUAUGUCCUUUAUAGAGAGGUAUCCAUUAUAUAGAGAGUUACCUAUCAGCCAGCUAUAUGUCCUUUAUAGAGAGGUAUCCUUUAUAGAGAGGUAUCCUUUAUAAAGAGGUAUCCAUUAUAUAGAGAGUUACCUAUCAGCCAGCUAUAUGUCCUUUAUAGAGAGGUAUCCUUUAUAAAGAGGUAUCCAUUAUAUAGAGAGUUACCUAUCAGCGAGCUAUAUGUCCUUUAUAGAGAGGUAUCCUUUAUAGAGAGAGUUACCUAUCAGCCAGCUAUAUGUCCUUUAUAGAGAGGUAUCCUUUAUAGAGAGGUAUCCUUUAUAAAGAGGUAUCCAUUAUAUAGAGAGUUACCUAUCAGCCAGCUAUAUGUCCUUUAUAGAGAGGUAUCCUUUAUAAAGAGGUAUCCAUUAUAUAGAGAGUUACCUAUCAGCGAGCUCUAUGUCCUUUAUAGAGAGGUAUCCUUUAUAAAGAGAGUUACCUAUCAGCGAG